UGGGGGGAGAGGACAUAGAGCCCACUUCUCCAUGACAUUUGCUCGGACGGGGGGUCCCAACUGCCCCAAUAGCUUUGGACAUCCCAUGUGCAUUGCUUGAAUGAGCAGGACCCCAGGGUUCUUCCAGAGGAGCAGAAGUCUCAGGGACUGCAGCUCAGGACUUUGAAGUGACUUGCAAAGGCCACACCGCCAGGACCAGAGCCUGCUUCUCCAUCCCUUCCUCCUGGCACAGCCGCUGAUAAAUCCCAUUACCUGAA